UAUUUUUGGUGUCUUCAAAAUGGAAUUGAUUUCUCAAUUUCAUUUCCUGUUUGCUCAUUGCUAGUGCAUAGAAAAAUAAUUGAGGCUUAGUACAGUGGCUCGUGCCUGUAAUCCCAGCACUUUGGGAGACUGAGGCAGGAGGAUCACUUGAGCCUGGGAGUUUGAGACCAGCCUGGGCAACAUAGCAACGUUUAAUCCUUUUCUUGUUUGGUCUCAUCCAAAGAGUAAGCCAAAAUAAUCAAGGUCACAAAGGACUUAUGACCAAGGUAUAACUCUGCAAAUAUCUUUAACUGGUCAUGGCUUCUUUGUUUGAUCCCUUCCCACUCAUUAGAAGACUCUAAGGAACAGAUGCUUCAGCCUAGUUCAAAGUAGUACACUUCAUACCUCAGCAAAGUGGACCAAAAAAGAGGAAAACACAGAAUACAAGAAAGAGUUGACAAAGCAAAUCUAAUAAAAAGUAUGGUUGGUUUGAACAGCCACUGGUAUAAAUUCCUUAUGAUUCUACUUUUUGACAGGCUCCUCCUUUUGACUAUUGAGCAAUUAAGAUAUUUUCAGUCGUUUCGAUUCCUUUUCCACAUUGUCUCUAAUGUUCUGUAGUUUUCUGGAGUUCUGAACCAGGGAUACUAAACUCUCCCUAAAAUCACUAGUC
rnacentral:lncRNA from 1 species